rnacentral:rRNA from 1 species
AUUGAACGCUGGCGGCAUGCCUUACACAUGCAAGUCGAACGGCAGCACGGGGGCAACCCUGGUGGCGAGUGGCGAACGGGUGAGUAAUACAUCGGAACGUGCCCGGUCGUGGGGGAUAACGUAGCGAAAGUUACGCUAAUACCGCAUACGAUCUGCGGAUGAAAGCGGGGGACCUUCGGGCCUCGCGCGAUCGGAGCGGCCGAUGUCAGAUUAGGUAGUUGGUGGGGUAAAGGCCUACCAAGACGACGAUCUGUAGCUGGUCUGAGAGGACGACCAGCCACACUGGGACUGAGACACGGACCAGACUCCUACGGGAGGCAGCAGUGGGGAAUGUUGGACAAUGGGCGCAAGCCUGAUCCAGCCAUUCCGCGGGCAGGACGAAGGCCUUCGGGUUGUAAACUGCUUUUGUAUGGAACGAAAAGGAUCUGGCUAAUACCUGGGGCUCAUGACGGUACCGUAAGAAUAAGCACCGGCUAACUACGUG